rnacentral:rRNA from 1 species
AUAGGCCCACCGGAAGGCGGGCCUGGAAAU